AUGAGAUUAUUGUGAUUUAUCAUAUAUUUCUGUAAUUAUGUAGGGUUAUUAUUUAUUGCUUCUGUUUUUUCAAUGCAAUUUGUGGGUGUAUCUGCAGAUUUGAAUACUUCUUCAAGAUUAUGAGCCUGUGGGAGAUUUGAUUGGCCAUUGAGAUGGAAAAGAGGAAAUGGUUAUGGAAGAAGAGAUCUUUUGAGAAGAGUCCGGGCAAGGCCGGUUCUAUGAUUGUCGGGGCAUGAGGUGAAGUCCAAAAAUUAGACCCCCAAAAUCAAUGUAAAUGUAAAAUUCAAUAGUAUAUUAUGCAACAUAUUGCCAACUUAAAACUUAACACUAAAACAACAAUCAAAUAUUUCAAUCAUCUAAUAGAAAAAACUAUUUUCCUUUUCAUUUUUUUUUAAUAUUAAAAAAAAUUUUGGACCAAAAUAGGCCCUCUAUGGUUUUGAGCCUGAGGCACAGGCCUCAUUUGUCUAGCCACAAGACCGGCUCUGAGUCCGGGUGAAAGUGAAAGCUCGGGUUCAAUAUCUUCACAUUCAGAGAGAUACUCUGAUGAGCAAGUAAAUGAUCAUUCAACGUCAAAAUGUGCAUCAUUCUAGUCAUUUUUGUGCUUACCAUUGUUCUAAUACUGUGCACUUACAGUUGGCGUAUUGUAUUACGUAUUCACAUAAGAUCGCCAGUCUCGUUUAGCAUUGAUGUUUUCUGCAUUUCAAAAACUUUGACUAGAUUUUAAUCUCUUUCUCAGUAUAAGAUGUCUUAAAAGCUUUUAUUUUAUUAGCAAUUGAAUUCUUCUCUUAGCUUCACAUUUCUGACUCAUGAAAUAAAACUAAUGCAUAUUGCUAAAACAAUCAUGGCAUUAUUGAUGUUUGAAAUAUUUGGAGCCUAAUCAUACAAUAGACUUAUGUUCCAUAUUUGUAUUGCGCCGACCUAAUAUUCCAAAGCUACAUGCAGAGUAUUUUAAUGAAGCCUUUCGUCAACCGAAGUGUAAACAUUUUGGUGUACAUGUAGUCUUAUUCAUCUCGAAAAUAACCAUUGUAUACAAUUUUUGUCUAGAUCUCCAAAAUGAAUGCAUGCUCAAUCUAGAAUUGAGAUCGAAAGCCAAAUUAAAAAGGUAGAGAUUGAUUACUUGUAAAAUUGUUUCUUUAAUUUCGUUCCCUUUUUU
rnacentral:lncRNA from 1 species